CACACACAGUGGGAGAGAAUAAAGUUAGUACAGUAGGCUAUACUAUCUCUGCUGCCCUGCGCCUAACCCUGGCACAGCGAAGACGCAGGACGCAACAAACUUUUGGUUUCCGUCGUCUAUAUAAUCCGAGAACUGUUUCAUAUUUCCUCCUUUAGAUCUACAGUCAUUUUCUACCCGCAGGUUUUGUUGGACUUUAUCUACACCCCGACAAACCACUUCCAACAAAGAUCAUGGACUGGUUGAGGACAGCGUUGGACUGGUUGAGGCCAGCGUUGGACUGGAUGUGGCCAGUCGUGGAGAGACUUAUGGCUUUAUAUACAGGCUCAAGGACACGAUCAGUCGCUGAUAGUAACAGUGUUGUUACUGACAGAACAAUCUCAAAAAUAAAAGGAAAAAACCUCAACAUGGCGGUUGAAACAGUGAGUGAUCCAGGAAGCGGUCCGAGUGGAAAAGCUGGUGGAGAAGAUGGACAGGCAGAUUGCUCUGCACGUGGUGGCAGUGUGAUUUGUACUGAUAAAAUGUCUAAUGUUGAGGUUGAUGGUGAUAUCAAUUUAUCAGUGACUGUGAAACCAAAAGCACAGUAGACGAGACACUGCAGGACUCUCAGCCUCUCUUCACUGAACAGGCCAAGAAACAUGGUGUCCACCCCAUUCACCUCCAGUCUCCAUUACAUCCAGGGCCCAGGGUUCCUCCAACUCUACUCAUCACAAGACCUGCUCCACAUUCCACCAUCAUCCAUUACCAGAUCUUCAGCCAGCUCUCUUCCUCACCACCAGUGUCUACUCAGGCUGUUUGCUAACUUAUAUUAAGAGGAAGACACUCAAUAGGGAGUCCCUAUAAGCACCUUCAUCCAUGUAGGCCGGCUGGGGUUAUUGAGGGUCUUCCUUUUUAAAAUAGUUUUAGCAUUUACGGUUUUUUUCUGGGGAUGUUAAUUAAGUUUUGCUUCAUGCUAUUAAAUAUGUAACUAUGUUUACUAUGUAUGUAUUUGUGUAUAUGAUCAUACAUGUAUCACUGGGGACAGAAACGUGAAUACAAUACACUAAGUAUUUAA